rnacentral:misc_RNA from 1 species
AAUUAAAUGGACCACUCGAACCUGCAUUCUUGUAACUGAAACGUAACAAAAAAAAAUGUAGCUGUGUCAAGAACCGUAUCAAGUAUAUGGUAAGGUGCACCGAGUGACGAAACAAUGGCGUGUGCUAUUUUUGAUGAGUUUAGUUAGAUAUCCAGUUAAAAAAGGCACAUGUUAGGCAAAGGCAAGCAACUGAUCAUGAUUGGAAAUACUGUGCUCAAAACAGGCAUAUAGAGCUUUCAUCCCGCCCUGGAUUUUGCCAUUUCGACGAGGAAAUUAAAGCCUUGAUCUUAGUGCGGUCUUCAUUUUUCUCGCCGAGCUGUUGGAUGCUAGAUGAGGCAAGCAACCACUGGGACUGAUCAGGCUGCCAAGAACUGCACUUAAAUGCCCACCUCAGACUUGCCAUGAUGCUCUGAAAUGUUUGACAUGUCAAAACAAAAUGAAUGGAGUACCAGCACUACAUGUACUUCUCCUGAGAACAUUAAAAGAACGGUUUCCUACCUUACUUCUGACACUCCUUAUCCUUCCAGUCAGAUCCUU